UACGGGGGGAGCAAGCGUUGUUCGGAUUUACUGGGCGUAAAGGGCGCGUAGGCGGUUAGAUAAGUUAGAUGUGAAAUCCCCGGGCUUAACCUGGGAACGGCAUUUAAUACUGUCUGGCUAGAGUAGAAUAGAGGGAAGUGGAAUUUCCAGUGUAGCGGUGAAAUGCGUAGAUAUUGGAAAGAACACCAGUGGCGAAGGCGGCUUCCUGGAUUCAUACUGACGCUGAGGCGCGAAAGCAUGGGGAGCAAACAGG
rnacentral:rRNA from 1 species